rnacentral:rRNA from 1 species
AGUGAACGCUGGCGGUAGGCCUAACACAUGCAAGUCGAACGGCAGCACAGUAAGAGCUUGCUCUUACGGGUGGCGAGUGGCGGACGGGUGAGGAAUACAUCGGAAUCUACUUUUUCGUGGGGGAUAACGGAGGGAAACUUACGCUAAUACCUCAUACGACCUACGGGUGAAAGCAGGGGAUCUUGGUACCUUGCGCGAUCGAAUGAGCCGAUGUCGGAUUAGCUAGUUGGCGGGGUAAAGGCCCACCAAGGCGACGAUCCGUAGCUGGUCUGAGAGGAUGAUCAGCCACACUGGAACUGAGACACGGUCCAGACUCCUACGGGAGGCAGCAGUGGGGAAUAUUGGACAAUGGGCGCAAGCCUGAUCCAGCCAUACCGCGUGGGUGAAGAAGGCCUUCGGGUUGUAAAGCCCUUUUGUUGGGAAAGAAAAGCAGCAGGUUAAUACCCCGCUGUUCUGACGGUACCCAAAGAAUAAGCACCGGCUAACUUCGUG